GAGCCUGUAGUCUAGUGGCUAAGGUACAUGUCUCUGACCCCUGAGGUUGGGGGUUCAAGCCCGGUCCAGACUUA